rnacentral:lncRNA from 1 species
UUCAGUUCUCUGGGCCAUCAUGCCCCACCAUGGCUUGUAGUCACAAGUCUGCAUGAGUUAUUCAACUCACUCUCCAAGUUCGCAAAAGCGGACCAGCGGCGCAAGUAGCCAACAAGUCGACAAAAAAGAGUACACAAGACUACUCAUUUUGACUAGUUAUAUCAUGCAUUUUUCAUAUUAAUGAAUCUUGCAGGAUACAUUAGUGCUUCCACCUCAGGAAGUCAGAAUGACAAGAGUA